UAUAUUGAUCUAUUAAUGUGUUCAUGCCAUUGAGUUGAAUAAUAAAUAGCUGUACUUAGAAUUGGUGUUUAGAAAAUUUCCCCUUAAAAUAUAUUAACAGUUAAAUAACUAAUUGGCCACGCUACCAAACUUUCCUCAUUUUAUCUUACAACUUAUAACUUCUAAGUAUUAUUUCUACUCAAGAUUUCCCCUCAUUAUAGUCUGGUCGAGAAAUUCAAUGGGACCCUUAAAUCCAUGCUUAAAAAAAAUCCAAACAGCCUACUGCCUGGGAUCGUUAGCUUCCUGCAGUCUUUGUUCACCUACCAAGAAGCUCCACAGGCGAGUUUGGGAUUUUCACCGUUCAAACUCCUGUAUGGAAGGGCGGUCAGAGGGCCGGCCAAUCACCAUUUUGCACCACUUGUGGGAUUGACAGCAGACUGAUGGUGGUGGAAAAUGCUUCAGAAUCGUGUGCUACCAACGUGGAAGAAGUCUUUACAACGAUACUGGAAGAAUGCGACGAAAAGAAGGAACCUUCGGCUGUCUCUUCCUUCACUGGUCCAAAAGAAAACUCACCAGGAUGUCCGUGACUUUCACCCUGACCAACAACAGCAGGUCAGACAGUUAUUACAAAAGAUCAGUGAGGUGUUGUUAGAUAUUCUGGGUUGUACAAACUUACCACAACAUGCUAUUAAACUUUUGCAGGAUGAGGCCUUAUAAAAUACCUCAUGCUAUCAGAGGUGAGGUGAAUACGGAGAUAGCAGACAUGUGGGGAGCGGGCAUCAUAGAACCUUCAAGUUCUCCAUAUUCCACACCCAUUGUGGUUGUAAAAAGUCUGGGUUGCAGGAAAUGUUGGAGCAAACACACUUACUUUGGCAGAAAGUUUGGGGUUAGCAGAGAGAAUUUCAAGCAUCAACUAUAGCCACGUGUCCACAAAUAGGAUGAUUCUCGUAAAUUAGUUAUGACUGUACAUCUAUAUAUAAGUGUACCCUCGAAGAUCUGGACUUAAAGGGGGACCACCUGUCUGAAAAAGUCAAUUGUCUGUCUCUUCCGGCGAAUGUAACUAAAUGUAUAAAAACGAUAAAUAAUGACAUACAAGACACCAAAAAUACAGUACUGUGGUUUAUG
rnacentral:misc_RNA from 1 species